rnacentral:rRNA from 1 species
AAGUCGUAACAAGGUUUCCGUAGGUAAGUUGACCAUUAAAGUGUUCUCUCUCUCUCUCUCUCUCUCUCUCCUCUGCUUCGGGCUAAUAUUUUUUUUUAUCAGGUGAACCUGCGGAAGGAUCAUUA